GACGGAGGAUGCAAGUGUUAUCCGGAAUCACUGGGCGUAAAGCGUCUGUAGGUGGUUUAAUAAGUCAACUGUUAAAUCUUGAGGCUCAACCUCAAAAUCGCAGUCGAAACUAUUAGGCUUGAGUAUAGUAGGGGCAGAGGGAAUUUCCAGUGGAGCGGUGAAAUGCGUAGAUAUUGGAAAGAACACCGAUGGCGAAGGCACUCUACUGGGCUAUUACUGACACUCAGAGACGAAAGCUAGGGGAGCAAAUGGG
rnacentral:rRNA from 1 species